UGAGUACGAGAUGCUACGGCAUCGAAGCAGUCUAUGUCAUACUUCCAAGAAAAGCUUGCACUGUCAUAAACAAAGAAUGCCUGUACCAUAACCGACACAGGUGGGUAGGUAGAGUAUACUAAGGGGCGCGAGAUAACUCUCUCUAAGGAACUCGGCAAAAUGACUCCGUAACUUCGGGAGAAGGAGUGCCUUAUUUCUAAGGUUGCAAUAACAAGAUCCAAGCAACUGUUUACCAAAAACACAGGUCUCCGCUAAGUCGUAAGACGAUGUAUGGGGGCUGACGCCUGCCCAGUGCCAGAAGGUUAAAGAAGUUGGUUAGCAUUAGCGAAGCUGAUAACUGAAGCCCUGGUGAACGGCGGCCGUAACAAUAACGGUCCUAAGGUAGCGAAAUUCCUUGUCGGGUAAGUUCCGACCCGCACGAAAGGCGUAAUGAUUUGGAUACUGUCUCGGAGAGGGGCUCGGUGAAAUAGACUUGUCUGUGAAGAUGCGGACUACCUGCACCUGGACAGAAAGACCCUAUGAAGCUUUACUGUAACUUGAGAUUGAAAUUGGACUUUAUUUGCGCAGUAUAGGUGGGAGGCGUUGAGAAUAAUCUUGCGGGAUUGUUGGAGCCAUCAGUGAGAUACCACUCUUGUAAUGUUAGAUUUCUAACUUUGUAUCAUUAUCUGGUCAAAGAACAGUUUCAGGCGGGCAGUUUGACUGGGGCGGUCGCCUCCCAAAGGGUAACGGAGGCGCACAAAGGUUUCCUCUGAACGGGUAGAAAUCGUAUCUAGAGUGUAAAGGCAUAAGGAAGCUUGACUGUGAGACCUACAAGUCGAGCAGGGACGAAAGUCGGUCUUAGUGAUCUGACGGUGCUGAGUGGAAAGGCCGUCACUCAACGGAUAAAAGUUACUCUAAGGAUAACAGGCUGAUCUCCCCCAAGAGUUCACAUCGACGGGGAGGUUUGGCACCUCGAUGUCGGCUCAUCGCAUCCUGGGGCGGUAGUCCGUCCCAAGGGUUGGGCUGUUCGCCCAUGAAAGCGGUACGCGAGCUGGGUUCAGAACGUCGUGAGACAGUUCGGUCCAUAUCCGGUGUAGGCGUUAGAAUAUUGAGAGGAGCCUUCUCUAGUACGAGAGGACCGAGAAGGACAUACCUCUGGUGUACCAGUUAUCGUGCCAACGGUAAACGCUGGGUAGCUAUGUAUGGAGUGGAUAACCGCUGAAAGCAUCUAAGUGGGAAGCCCACCUCAAGAUAAGUA
rnacentral:rRNA from 1 species